rnacentral:rRNA from 1 species
GAUGAACGCUGGCGGCGUGCCUAAUACAUGCAAGUCGAGCGAACGGACGAGAAGCUUGCUUCUCUGAUGUUAGCGGCGGACGGGUGAGUAACACGUGGAUAACCUACCUAUAAGACUGGGAUAACUUCGGGAAACCGUAGCUAAUACCGGAUAAUAUUUUGAACCGCAUGGUUCAAAAGUGAAAGACGGUCUUGCUGUCACUUAUAGAUGGAUCCGCGCUGCAUUAGCUAGUUGGUAAGGUAACGGCUUACCAAGGCAACGAUGCAUAGCCGACCUGAGAGGGUGAUCGCCCACACUGGAACUGAGACACGGUCCAGACUCCUACGGGAGGCAGCAGUAGGGAAUCUUCCGCAAUGGGCGAAAGCCUGACAGAGCAACGCCGCGUGAGUGAUGAAGGUCUUCGGAUCGUAAAACUCUGUUAUUAGGGAAGAACAUAUGUGUAAGUAACUGUGAACAUCUUGACGGUACCUAAUCAGAAAGCCACGGCUAACUACGUG